rnacentral:rRNA from 1 species
UGGGGAAUAUUGCACAAUGGGCGCAAGCCUGAUGCAGCCAUGCCGCGUGUAUGAAGAAGGCCUUCGGGUUGUAAAGUACUUUCAGCGGGGAGGAAGGUGUUGAGGCUAAUAACCUCAGCAAUUGACGUUACCCGCAGAAGAAGCACCGGCUAACUCCGUGCCAGCAGCCGCGGUAAUACGGAGGGUGCAAGCGUUAAUCGGAAUUACUGGGCGUAAAGCGCACGCAGGCGGUCUGUCAGGUCGGAUGUGAAAUCCCCGGGCUCAACCUGGGAACUGCAUUCGAAACUGGCAGGCUAGAGUCUUGUAGAGGGGGGUAGAAUUCCAGGUGUAGCGGUGAAAUGCGUAGAGAUCUGGAGGAAUACCGGUGGCGAAGGCGGCCCCCUGGACAAAGACUGACGCUCAGGUGCGAAAGCGUGGGGAGCAAACA